rnacentral:rRNA from 1 species
UUGUAUACCCCCUCGCGGGUUUUUUAUAUCUGAGCCUUCUCGGCGCCCCUAGCGGGCGUUUCGAAAAUGAAUCAAAACUUUCAACAACGGAUCUCUUGGUUCUGGCAUCGAUGAAGAACGCAGCGAAAUGCGAUAAGUAAUGUGAAUUGCAGAAUUCAGUGAAUCAUCGAAUCUUUGAACGCACAUUGCGCCCGCCAGUAUUCUGGCGGGCAUGCCUGUCCGAGCGUCAUUUCAACCCUCGAACCCCUCCGGGGGUCCGGCGUUGGGGAUCGGCCCUUAACCGGCCGGCCCCGAAAUACAGUGGCGGCCUCGCCGCAGCCUCUCAUGCGCAGUAGUUUGCACACUCGCACCGGGAGCGCGGCGCGGCCACAGCCGUAAAACAAACCAAACUCUGAAAUGUUGACCUCGGAUCAGGUAGGAAUACCCGCUGAAC